UAAUGAGAUUCCUGUAGGCCCACUUCUUGUGCUUGCCUGGAUCCCUCUGGAUGACAUCCCAUACUUCAGUUCACUCUUACUUAACAGUUUGACACGGUGGAGAAAGCAAUUUGUGCCAAGUGUGAAGCCAAAAUGAAUCAGUUUUCUACUUCUCUUCAAAUUCCAGGGUACAGGUUACUGUGGUGGGUGGCAGGCUGUUGUGUUGAGUUCUCAGAGAAGGAUGAGAAGGCGUUCGAGCUAACAUCUAUCGUCUCCCCGAAAUAUGCUGAUGUGACAGCUUCUUGGACUGAAAAUGCACGCUUCUGGUAGAAUUCUUCUGACAGGAAAAGCAAGCAGUUCUGUCACUUAAAACGAGCACAAAACAAAACCCCCUCUGAA